rnacentral:rRNA from 1 species
CAGCCCUAAACGAUGCGCGUUAGGUGUAUCGGUGACCACGAGUCACCGAGGUGCCGAAGGGAAACCGUGAAACGUGCCGCCUGGGAAGUACGGUCGCAAGGCCGAAACUUAAAGGAAUUGGCGGGGGAGCACCACAACGGGUGGAGCCUGCGGUUUAAUUGGACUCAACGCCGGGAAGCUCACCGGAUAAGACAGCGGAAUGAUUGCCGGGCUGAAGACCCUGCAUGACCAGCUGAGAGGAGGUGCAUGGCGUAGUCGUGU